rnacentral:rRNA from 1 species
AAUUUUUAAUGGUUGACCUCGGAUCAGGUAG